rnacentral:tRNA from 1 species
GCCCGUCUAGCUCAUUUGGUAGAGCACAAGGCCCCUAACCUUGUGGCCGUUGUUUCGAACCCCACAGGGGGUG